rnacentral:rRNA from 1 species
GACGUAGGGCGCGAGCGUUGUCCGGAUUUAUUGGGCGUAAAGAGCUCGUAGGCGGCUUGUUGCGUCGUCCGUGAAAACCUGGGGCUCAACUCCAGGCUUGCGGUCGAUACGGGCAGGCUAGAGUUCGGUAGGGGAGACUGGAAUUCUUGGUGUAGCGGUGAAAUGCGUAGAUAUCAAGAGGAACACCUGAGGUGAAGACGGGUUGCUGGGCCAACACUGACGCUGAGGCGCGAAAGCCAGGGGAGCAAACGGG